GAGAAAGGUCCGCACGACAGAUGAAUCCUGCUAAACUUCAUAAUCCCCGGUUGAACUCCGGGGCUUUCCUCG
rnacentral:tRNA from 1 species